UAUAACACUAGAGUCGGUCGGAAUUGUACAAUGAUUUACCAUGUGUGAUACAAUUUCUGGUCUCAAUUAACAGGAUCGAUUACUAAUUUGUUAUAAGCAGCGAGUAGGCCAUGAAUCAUGCACACAUCACGUCUCGCUUCCACUACAACACAACAGGCAGCAAUGCUCUAGUGGAACUUGAGGCUGGUGAGGACGUUGUUGUUGACGGGGUCGGCGAGGUGGUCGAGCAGGUUCUGGAAGGGGCCGACGCCGGUGACGAGCCCCUGGAUGAAGUACCCGAGGAUGGCGAGCAUGGCGAGCCUGCCGUUCUUGAUCUCCUUGAGCUUGAGCUCCUUCAUCUCCUUCUCGGUCUUUCCGAACCCGAGCGGGUUGAAGAGCGGGCCGCCGGGGUAGGACGGGUCGCCGGAGCCGGCGAGGAACUUCUCGAGGCCGAGGAAGUACUGCUUGCCCAUGGAGCCCGGGUUGUACCAGUCCUGGAGGCGGCGGUGCUCGGCGAAGCCCAUGAGCGCCAUGUUGAAGACGAAGAGCGUGUAGGAGUCGGCCCAGUAGUUGUAGGUGCCCGCCGGCGGGAUGACCCCCGUCUUGAACCACGGCAGCGCCGUCUCCGGCGGGAUGAGGCCCAGCUUGCCGAAGACCUCCGGAGCGAUGGCGCCCGCAGCGCCCAGCAUGGCGAAGCGCCCGUUGAUCACCUCUCCGUAGGCCAGCCACUUGGGCUCGAUGAAGCCGCCGGUGCCCUCCGGGUCGGAGAGGCCCAGCGGGUCGAAACCGUAGUCGCCGGGCAGCCUGCGACGACGACGGCAUCGUCCAAGAUCGGAUCAGUAUAUAGUAACUGCAAGAACAUUCAUGGAGGCAUGGAGCUAGCAGUACGUACGUGCCAUCGAGGUAGGAGAGGGAUUGCUUGGACGCGAACCACAGCUGCCUGUCAGCGCCUUGCUGCAAGAAAGAAGAUUCAUCCAUGAUCAGUAGCUCGUUUUAGACGAUGAGCUCGGCAAGUAAGAGGUGCAGCGAGAGCAGGUCCGCGCAGACCUUGGCCGGAGGGCUGGAGCUGGCCCUGACGACGAAGGGCGCCUUCCUCGCGGACGACCGGGAGACGGCUUGCACGGGGCGGCCGAGCAGCUGCCGGCCGGAGAGGAGAGCCUGAGCCGCCAUGGAUCCCUUGCUUGUUGCUUGUGUUCAGCUGCCGACUCUCUGGUAUCUGCGGUUCGGGAGGAGAGGGGCGCAGAAGAAGAGGCGCCAAAAAUAUGUGAC
rnacentral:lncRNA from 1 species